rnacentral:miRNA from 1 species
AUUAGGUUGCUGCAAAAGUAAUUGAGGUUUUUGCCAUUACUUUCAAUACCAUUACUUUUGAAAGUAAUGGCGAAAAUCGCAAUUACUUUUGCAUCAACUUAAUA